GACGAACGCUGGCGGCGUGCCUAAUACAUGCAAGUAGGACGCACAGUCUAUACCGUAGCUUGCUACACCAUAGGCUGUGAGUUGCGAACGGGUGAGUAACGCGUAGGUAACCUGCCUAUUAGAGGGGGAUAACUAUUGGAAACGAUAGCUAAUACCGCAUAACAGUAUGUAACACAUGUUAGAUGCUUGAAAGAUGCAAUUGCAUCGCUAGUAGAUGGACCUGCGUUGUAUUAGCUAGUAGGUAGGGUAAUGGCCUACCUAGGCGACGAUACAUAGCCGACCUGAGAGGGUGAUCGGCCACACUGGGACUGAGACACGGCCCAGACUCCUACGGGAGGCAGCAGUAGGGAAUCUUCGGCAAUGGGGGGAAGCCUGACCGAGCAACGCCGCGUGAGUGAAGAAGGUUUUCGGAUCGUAAAGCUCUGUUGUUAAGGAAGAACGAGUGUGAGAAUGGAAAGUUCAUACUGUGACGGUACUUAACCAGAAAGGGACGGCUAACUACGUG
rnacentral:rRNA from 1 species